rnacentral:rRNA from 1 species
UCGCCUGUUUAUCAAAAACAUUGCCUUUUGGACUUAUUUAAGGUAUACCCUGCCCAAUGCAAAAGUCAAUGGCCGCAGUAUCUUGACUGUGCGAAGGUAGGCUGAUAAGUUGCCCCUUAAUAUGGGGAUCCCACGAAUGGGUGAACGAGACGUAAGCUGUCUCAACUUAGCAAAACGAAUAUAACUGUGAGGUGAAGAGGCCUUUAUAUUUUUGUGGGACGAGUAGACCCUACAGCGCUUUACUUUUUUAAGUUUGGUUGGGGCGACAUUGGAGAACCUAAAUCCUCCAAGACUUAAAAAGACCUACGUGUAAGGAUCCGGAAACACCGAAAAUCGGCAUAAGCAACCUUAGGGAUAACAGGCCGUUCUCCCUAGAGAGCUCAAAUUGAUAGGGAGGCUGGGCACCUCGAUGUUGGCUCGGAUAAUACUACUCGGUGCAGAAGUUGGGUUAGUGGGUUUGCUAGACCUUUAAUUGUCCACGUGAUCUGAGUU